CUCAGGAGAAGGGCCGAGGGGCGGGAAAGACAUUGAAAGUUAGUGCUGCUUACUUUACUUGGAAGCUUCCAGAGGACGAGGAAAAGAAAGAAUUGGGCAGAAAGAUAGGAAUUUGGAAAAAGAUCUCAGCUGGAUUGGGAUCUGAGACUCCUACUCCUGCUUGAUCAAUGAGAAUCUCUACUCCCAAUCAAAAGUCUGGCCUACUUGAAUAAAAUGCAGCUAAAAGUCAAAAUACCAGCCAUAGAGGAAGCCAGCCCCUUUCAAGGAAGGGGAUUUUGCAAGACAACUGGCUUUUCUAAUGUUUUAAAGCAGCACAGCUUACUUCCAUUUCUGAAAUUCCUUAACUUGCUUAAAUGAUAUACCUUCUGAAUUCAAUUCUCCCUGUGCAACAAGAAAACUGUUUGGUUCUGCACACGUAUAUUGUAUCCAGGAUAUACUGUAACCUAUUCAACAUGUAAAGGAUUGCUUGCCAUCUGGGGGAGGGGGUGGAGGGAGGGAGGGGAAAAAUCGGAACAGAAGUGAAUGCAAGGAAUAAUGUUGUAAAAAAUUACCCUGGCAUGAGUUCUAUCAAUAAAAAGUUGUUAAAAAAAAAAUUUGCUUAAAUGAGUCAUGAAAGAAUAAGAUUUUCAUUUAGUAUUGCUGAUCCCUCUUAGGAAACUGGUUAUAGUUCCAGAAGACCACUGGAAGAAUCAAUGGCCCAGGAGUACCCAGAAAAUAUUGUAUUUCUUUAAAAUAGUUCCUCCAUAGAUAUAGGCAAAAACCUGAAAUAUUACUUUACCAAAUCUAAUGCCAACAUAGUGUAGUUUAGGCCUUUAGUUUAAGUCUUUUUGUUGGAAUGGUGAAUGGACCAACUGAUGAGCACAGGGUCAGGAAGUAGAUGUUUGGUGUGCUUUCCUCACCCCUGCCCCCUCCCCAAGCCUAUAUUGAAUCUGUGCACCAAAUUAUUCCCCUAGUUAUAUAACCACAGCAACCACAGCUUACCUAGAUAACAAUGGAAAAGAACAUCUUUGCCCCAAGUGGUACCCUUUAUCCUCCUCCAUCAACCCAUCAAAUUCAAACUGAUUUGAAGAUUUCAUGUUUAGAAUAAAAAGUCAAAAUCACUUUUACUUGGGGGGAAAAAAUCCAGAUUUGACUCAAAGCUCUGCUUAAGGCUUCCUAUUGUAAAAGAAAAAAAAAAAAAAAAAAAAAACAAAGCGAUAAAUUGCUUGCCUCUUCUUUGUGCAGAGUACCUUUCCAAAGACAAGAUCUGGGAUUCUAAAAAUCGCCUGCUCUUCAACAAGUACAGGAAACAGUUUUCUGGGCCCACUAACACCAGGCUUAUAAAUACCUACUUCAAAGUUGCAGUUAUACAAAUAAAAAGCUGUACCCCUUUAUGGGGUACCUCAGACUGAUAAAGCACAGGGAACCCCAGAUCCUGACUGGAGAUGUAAGCUGGGGCCAGCAAUCCUUAACACCUUCCAGGAUCCGAUGGGUUGUCACUUUAUGUUCCUAGAAGAAAAAAACUCUUUUCCAGAGAAUAAUGCACCCAUUUAAAGAAGGAAAAACAAACAUCUUUCAAAGGAAGUGGUGCCAAUCCUGUUUUAAAAAUAAAAUCUAAUGGCCACAUGAUGGCAGUAGAUGCAACUUACUAGCAUGACAGCAGUGAUGACAUUAACAUAGGGUCUUAUCCAAAGGCAAGAACUAUAUGGAACAUAAAGCCAUUAAAAUAAUUUGAAAACCAGGCAAAAUAUCUGUCCCCAAUCAAAGGAAAAAAAUUAUUUUAGAGUCUUCAGAAACAAAUUAUUUGACUAUUACAGACCUAGGGAGAAAUGACAUUAAUGUUAAUUUAAAAUGACUUGGAAAUAGGUUUGAAAAAAUUUUGGUUGAAAUAUUACAUUGAAAAGUUAUUCACACACUGCAGUCUUCAUAAUGAGUAACUUAUUCCCACGAUGUUUCACCUUCACUUAGACUUUUAAGUGAGGCGAAAAUUCAUCAAAAUGGUUGCUACAUCUAUAAUAGUAAUCAGUAACACUGAGCUUCUUCCAUAUGUCAACUAUUUUAAUGAGACUAAUGAGACCUAGAAAUGCAGGAUAGGUCCAAACAAGUAACUUUCAAGUCACUAAAUCUCAGGUUCAAAAUAUAUUGGCAGCAAAUUGGUCUAACCUUGCACCUAUAACAGUCAUCUAUACUAUGCCUGAAAAUCUCUAAUGAGAAUAAAUCCACUACCUCCCUCAAAAGCCUAUUGCAACUCUGUUAGAAACUUUUUCUUUAUAUCAAGUCUGAAUCUGCUUCUCUGAAAUUUCUGCUCACUGUUCCUGUUUCUAACGACCUCUGGAUCUCAACAGAACAAACCUAAUUCCUCUUCCCUAUGAAAACUCCUUAUAAUAUCUGAAGAACUGAUUAUAUCUCUUCUCUAAUGCCAGAAUCUUUAUUUCUUUGGGCUAUUUAUCCCCACUUCUUUCAUCUUAUCCUAUUCUGGACAUGCUUCAGUUUGUCAAUGUCUUUCCUAAAAUGCAACACUCUAUUCUCUAGUUAUUGUUUGACCAGGAAAUAUUAUAGCAAAAAAGAAUAAAUCUCUCUUCUAAUUCUGAAAUUCCCUUAAGUUUCCUACAACCUCAGAAUCAGACAGUUCUAUUAAUGGAACAUUAGAACUCUGGUGCUUAUUAUAAUUAAAAUAUUAACAAUAGUUCCUAAAAGAUAGUUUUUGGCAUCACACUUGCUAGUUAACAACUAUCAAACCUAGAUGUUUUUGAACAAUUCUGAAGAGUAAAAUAUACUUAAAUUCUCAAAAAAAAAA